rnacentral:rRNA from 1 species
GACGAACGCUGGCGGCGUGCUUAACACAUGCAAGUCGAACGGAAAGGCCCUUCUUUUUUCUGGUGCUCCGAUGGCGAACGUGUGAGUUACACGUGCUUCACUUCCCCUUGACUUUGGGCUAACUUCAUGAGACUGGUGCUGAUUCCGGAUACGCGCUCCUUCUGCAUUGGUGGGGUUCUUUUGCUUCGGCGGUUGGGGAUGGGCUCGCGGCUUAUCAGCUUGUUGGUGGGGUAUUGGCUUACCAAGGCUGUGACGGGUAGCCGGCCUGAGAGGGUGACCGGCCACAUUGGGACUGAGAUACGGCCCAGACUCCUACGGGAGGCAGCAGUGGGGAAUAUUGCACAAUGGGCGGAAGCCUGAUGCAGCAACGCCGCGUGAGGGAUGACGGCCUUCGGGUUGUAAACCGCUUUCGACAGGGACGAAGCGUGAGUGACGGUAAUGAGAGAAGAAGCACCGGCUAACUACGUG